CUCAUUCUUCAUGUCUCUUGUCUCUUUUGGUCUCUCUCCCCUGACCUAGGACUCUGUUGAACACCCCGUGGGUUGGGUCUAAGAGACCACCACUCUCCAAAAGGACGUUCUUCCUCCCCGCCCCCCCAUCCUAGGACCGCUGUUUCAUAAAGAGUGUCACAGCAGGAUCAGGGGUGGAACCCUGAGGAAGGUGGAGACCCUGCCCAAGGAUUUGAAAAGAACUUCUACCCUGCCUCCAUUGAACAAAAUCAAUAACCUUAAGGUCAAUACAGUAAGAGAAGAAGUGGCUUCUGCCUUUAUUGGAGACCAGCUAUUGUGUAGCUGAGGACAGUGAACCUUAAUCCAGAAGAAAACGAAACGGGUGGAUAUUGGUAAUUCUUUUUGUUUGGUUGGUUGGUUUUUGGUUUUUCGAGACAGGGUUUCUCUGUAUAGUCCUGGCUGUCCUGGA